CCCUUAGAUGUUCUGGGCCGCACGCGUGCUACACUGAGUGGAUCAGCGGGUCAGGUUGCGCGAAAGCGUUUCCUAAUCUUUAAAUCCGCUCGUGAUGGGGAUUGACGGUUGCAAUUUUCUGUCAUGAACGAGGAAUACCUUGUAAGCGCGGGUCAUCAUCCCGCGCUGAAUACGUCCCUGCCCUUUGUACACACCGCCCGUCGCUCCUACCGAUUGAGUGGUCCGGUGAGGCUUUGGGAUAUGAGCGGAAAGAGCGUUUCGCUGUUUCUGCUCGGAAAACUCAGUCGAACCUUAUCAUUUAGAGGAAGGAGAAGUCGUAACA
rnacentral:rRNA from 1 species